AAGCUUUCGAAGAAUACAACACCAUUUUCAAGCAAGCCCGCAACUCCAACACAUAGGAUGUCUCCUGUCCAUCUUCUACAUGGCUAUCCUCGAAAAAGUGAGGAAAGCGGUCAUACCUCUCUGACGCAUUCGAACUUUGAGAACGACCGAUGGGAUCCGGAAGAUAUGUUCACCAACUCUUCGAGUCACCGUGAUAUCGAUGUUCCUGAUGUUAGUCGCGGUGGACUGCAAUCGGAAAGGAGGGAAGUCGCGGACGUGACGGUUCAAGAAUUUAGAGCUUUGGAAAUGGCAUCAAUGUCACCUCAGAUACCUUGAACACAGCACGAAAUCGGUCCAUAAGCUUAGGGUCCCUUUUAUCUUGAUAAUUAAUAGAUUUAUAUGAUAAAAAAAUCAUAUCUAUAGUGUUUUUUGAUAUUAGUUCGUUGAAUUUAUCCUUUACGAAAAGAUGAUCGAAACCAAGGAUUUAAAUUGGGUUAAACAAUUUUGAAUAUCUAUGACGAAGAGAUCUUUGGGUUAAAUUGGGUUAGAAGGUUUUUGGUCAAAUUAUAAAUGAGUUAGUACCCGAUUGACUGGUGACACUUGUCAUCACUGAAUUUUGCCCGAUUAGGGUUUUGGGCCGGGUUGAUCUCGUAUGGGCCCAAUGAUUGGGCCCAUUAGAAUUUAAUUUUGAACUUGUUUUAGCCCUUUUUUAUUUUUAUUUAUUUUCUGUUUUAAAUAUUAAUAAAAUAGUAGUAAAAAAUCUCAAAAAAAACAAAAAAAUAUAAAUUACAUUUUAGCCCAUGAUCUUUUCAAAAAUUAUAUUUUGACCCCAAACUUUUCUAUAAAUUACAUUUUAACCCUGAAAUUUUCUUUAAAUUACACUUUGACCCCUUAACUUUCCAGAAAUUACAUUAUAGCCCUAUAUUUUCCUAAAAUUUCAUUUUUGCCCCAGAAACUUUUCACCCGUUACAAUUUAGUCCUUCUGGGCAUGACAAGACUGCCCCCAACCAGCAUUCUUGCGUGCCCCGCUCGCCACGCCUGCCACCCCAAUGCAUGGCCUCCCUCCUCCAUUGCCACCUGAAAACAAGAAGAAGAAGACAAAAUGAAAUGAGAUUAAAAAGAAAAAUUGAAGAGGAGGAGAGGGGGGUUCUCAAAAAAAAAAACUUCAAAAAAAAACAAAAGAAAAUAAGCAAAGAAAUUCCAAAAAAAAAAAAGCUCUCAAUCCGGCCGAUUGCCUCCACCGCCACCAAGUCCGUCGCGCCACCACCAUUGUCAUCUCACCGUCGAGUCCUAAACGCAAAAAACAAAAACAAAGAAAAAGCAAGCAAAAGAGAAAAAGAGAAAGAGCAGAGAAGAAAAAGAAAAAGGAAAAGGGGGGAGAGCAUACCUCCGUGCGCGCCACCGUCGGCCGUCGCACCAGGCGGAGAGACAUCACCGGCGACACAAAGGGGCUGCUGCUGAACGGAGAAGGAAGAAAGAAAGAAAGAAAAAAGAAAGAAGAAAAAAAGAAAGAAAAAAGGAAAGAAAAAAAAUAAAAAAAUAAAUUAACAGUCGGGUCAAACCGACCGACCCGACCCGAUCCAGCAAAACGACCGACCCGACCUGACCCACGGUACCCAGCAGCAGCAACAGGCCCGUUCCCAAUGGCCCAAAACAGUAACCAGCAAAAAAAAAAAAGAAGCAGCAGAUUUGUUUUAAAAAAAGCAGCAGCCCAACAGAAGCAGGCCUCCAGCAGACCCAUUGCGCAGGCCCAACUCAGGCCCAGCAGCAGCAAGCCUCCAGGCUCAGCAGCAGCAGGCCGAGCAGGCCCCCUUCGGCCCAGCGCCCAGGCCCGAAUCCGGCAGCCCAACAUCCAGCAGAAAAAAAAAGUUAUGAGAAGAAAAAAAAAGGGAAAAAAGAAAAGGGCCCAUAACUUUGGGCUUUUUGGUAAUUUCCUUAAAUCUUUUUUAAUUUAGUUUUAUUUAUUUAAAUAUGGUUUCAUUUAAAUUUAAUUAGCAUUUUUUUAAAAAUAGUUUUUUUUAGAAAUAUUAGUAUGGUUUUAUUUGCAUGUAAAAAAUGAAAUAAAAAAAUUAUUUUAAUGCAUAAGGCAACGAACCGAUUUAACAUCGAGCCGUUGAUUUCAUCGCUAUGAUGGGUGAAUAUCGAUGGAUCGUGUUAAAUACGAGACGCCCUUCUAAAAAUAAAAAAUGUUCGAAAUUCCUCGUGUUUAAAUAAAAAUUCUCGCGUUUUAAUAGAAUCCCGAUUAAUUUUUAAAUUGAUUUGAUUUAAUACUAAUUCGAUAGUUUCAUCGCCAUAUCGGGGUGAAUAUCACCGAUUCGUGUUAAAUACGGUAUUUUUUUAAAGAAAAAAAUCGUAUUUCAAAAAUUUUCAUUUCUUCAAAAUUCUCGUAUUUCUCAAAUUUUUGAGUUUCAAAAAAAUCGUGUUUUCAAAAAAAAAUUCUCGUGUUUUAAAAAUAUUUUUGUGUUUGCAAAAAUAAAAAUUGUUUCAAAAAAGUUCGUGUUUUAAAAAAAUUUCAUAUUUUGAUCUGGUCGCGAUUAACUAUUAAAUUGAACUUGUGUUUUUGAAAAUUAAGACAACACACGUUUAACAAGAUACCAAUUUUGGGCGUCGCGAGGGUGUUAAUACCUUCCUCGCGCGUAACUGACUCCCGAACUCGAAUUUUCUUUGGAUUUUUACGUGGACCUAAAAUUACCUCUUUUUUAGAAAAGUUUAAAAAUAAAUUUUUCUUCUAAAAAGAGAAUUUAUUAGGUGUCCGAUCACACCUAGAAAAAAAAGAUCGGUGGUGACUCCUUUUUUCAAAUAAAAUCGAGAUUCGGUUUUCAAGUUUUCAAUAAUUACUUCGAUUAGCGCCCAUCGCCAAAUUUUUAGGUCGCUACAACACUAAUUUAACCAAAAUCUUAAAAAUAGUAUUGAUGCAAAUAUAAAUAUAAUAUAAAUUUGAUAGGAUUAUUAAGGUAAUUUUGGGUACUCAACCUCAAAAAAUUACAAAAAUGGUCACUUAAUUAUCGAAAGUUUUUAUUUAAGUCACUAGACUAUUAAAAUUUUUUUUCUAAAGAAAGUCUAACUAGUGAGCUCCAAGCAACGAUUUAACGAUUAGUUUUAUGGAUCAGUACCCAUCGACGAGUAGAAGAACAUACCUUAGAUUUAAGUCGAUUUGAUGAUCAAUGUUAGAGAAUGGAAAAGAAAAUUGUUUGGUUUUUAGUUCCCAGAUCCGUGACAUUCAAAUUUGUUUCAUGAAAAAAAGGCUAAACUAUAGAAGAGAAGGUAAUGAAAGCUUUCGAUUGGUGUAAGCGGUGUGAACAAAAAAUGCUAUACAACAACGAUUUUAACAGUCCAAUGAUUUAAAAACUUUUGAAUAGUUCGGUGACUAUUUUAUAACUUUUUGAAAUUAAGUGACCAAAAUAUAAAUUUACUAAUAAUUUAGUGAUGAUGUGAUAAAGAAAUGAGUACAUUUCAAUUUCAAUUUAAUUUUUUAUUUUGAAAAUAAUAAAAUAUCAAUAACCUUCCAAAUAUAUACAUUUUAUUUUACAGUUUGUAAUGGCCGUAUUAUCAUCUUCCUCCUAUUUCUCUCUCUAUUAGCUUCAACAUUUCUGAAACCUGUUGAAAAAAUAAAGUAAAAAAGAUAAAACAAAAAAGUAAAAAAAAAUGAAAAUUGCAAUUAAAUAAAGUAAAAUGUCCAAUCCCUCUCAAAUAUCAAUUCAACCUAGAAUUAAAGAAUUUCACCAAUUUAAUCUUUCAACCCCAUUUUUUAACCUUUGAUUAAAAUUUGAAAUCAAUCGAGCAGGUCAAAGACAAAUUGUUGUAAACAGAGAUGUUCAUGAAUCAAGUCAAAUUAAAUUUAACUAUUCUUUAUCUAAUAUUUUGUUCCAACUCUCUUAAAUAUUUAGUGGGAACUCAUAUUCAGAAGAAUAAUUUAAUUCUUGAAUAGGCAGUAAAAAGACAAAUAAUAUUCAAACAUGCUCAAUUUUUCCUUUUCAAUUAUUUUAAAAGGUCCUUGAAGAGUCACAUCCAUAUACUUAUAUCUUGAUACUUAAGUGUUGAAUAUGCAUACUCUUAGAAAAAUGAAAAGUCAAAACAUCACAGUUCCGUUUUAAAAAUAUACAUAUUGAAUACGAGUUUUUAAAAAAGUCAAAACAUCACAGUUCCGUUUUAAAAAUAUACAUAUUGAAUACGAGUUUUUGAACCUGUGUUACUUAAGUGAUUUACAAAAACAUUAACUACUACUCCAAACAUAUGUCGAUGCCUAAAUCUCAUUUUAUUUUAUUAAAGUCGAUAAAUUUUUUCAUCAAAAAAUUUAAAAAGAUGUGAACAUAACCUUAUCUAAAUCAUUAUCAUCAUUAUUGUUAUUAUUAUUUCUCGGCCAACAUCAUAUCUCAUCAAGUUAAAAUAUGCAUCAAAUCUUUAAACUCUUCGUACAUUUGAUAAAAAAGUUUUAAUGAUAUUAAUAAUUAAAUUUAAAUUUUAAAUUUUAAAAAAUAAAAAUUAAGAGAAUAAAUUUUAAAUAUACGAAAAAAAAAACUUGGAUGUAUUUUAAUUAACCUUUUCAUCAUCAACAUCUGGUCCACCUUAUAAGGCCAAGGCGGAAAGGUCAGGGAGAGGAGGUGAUUAAGUCCACAGUCGCUCAUCAGUGACAAAGUCAUGUCUUUUUGGAUUGUUUCUAUGAUUUCCUCUCCAUUAUAGCAAACAAUAAAAAACCCAUUAUUUUAAUUGGAAAUCACAAACUAUUUUUCUAUUGAAGCAUUUUUAAAAUAUAUAUAAGGUUAGAUUUAUGGGUGGGGUUAUCCGUUUGAAAUUUAAGAAGAUUUGGGUAAAAAAAUUAAAUCUGUUUAAAAUAUAGGUCGGACUCGGCCUUGAAUAUUCAAGGUCUGAGCUUAAGCCCAAGUCUGGUCCAACUCUUUUUUUAAGUUUAUAAUACUUUAUGUUAUGUUAUGUAUAACACAUUAAAAAAUAAACCUAUACUAAAUAUGUACUACUACUCUAAUGUAAAUAUUAAAAUAAUGUUAAAAUAAUUAUAUAAAAAAUUUUAAUAAAUAAAAAUAUUAAAUUAAAUAAUAUAAAAAUGUAAAAAAUAAUAUGGGGCAAGCUUUUAGGCCCAUAUUUCGGGUCGAGCUAGGGUUGGGCAAGUAUAAAGUAUAUUAAUAUCAUGCUUAGGCCGAACCUGAACCUCGCCUGACCAAACCCAUGAGUACCUCUAAUUGCAUAUGAAAAAUAUAAAAAAAAAUUAUGCCACUUGGUUAUUAGUAAAAAAUUGUCACUACGCAUGGUGAUAAAUUGUAUAUCUUGGUUAUAAUUAUUCAAGUAAUAUGUAAUGAAUAAAUGUGUUCAUCCUUAAUAGAUGUCACUAUCCAAAUAGGCAUCUCUUGAAUUGUUACGUCUCUAAAAGUCAUGAAAACUCCUAUAAAUAGGAGUAGAAUUUUGUUUGCAUUGUACUCACAAAAAAAAAAAAAAUCUUUACAAAAAGAAUUUCUCUUAUUAUUCAUCUUUUAAUAUUUAAAGAUUAUUCUAUAAAAAAUUGCUUCCAAGUUUUUUUUUAAAAUUUGAUACUCUUGCUGCUAUGUGAUGCUCCACUUAAUGUUCAAUGCUCAAUAGAUUAUUUUCAUUAGUACAAAAUGUCGACAGACGUUGGGCUUCAUUAUAUCUUCAAUGUUCAUUUGUUUGUAACUUUUUUUGCAUACCAAAAUAUAAGUGAGGUGAAUAGAAUCUUAAACAAAGUGACAUGAUUACAGUAUUAAAACCUUCGUUAAUUUCUUAUAAGUUUAUUUGUAUCUUUAUGCACCAACAUCAAGAAAAAAAAUUAAUUCCAUUAUAAAAUCAAUCAAAUUAACUUAAUUACAAAAAUUGAAAUCGAUUAAAUUCGAGUGGUCAGAUGAAUUUAACUUGUUUUGUUUUAAAUUGUGUUUUCAUAUUGGAAUUAUAUAUUACUAUAAAAUAAUUAUUUAGUACACUAGUUGUGAAAAUUUUGAACUCCACAAAUAGGUUGAGAUUCCACCAUGUAUCCUUAAAUUGUAUUUAAAAAAAAGAAAAAAAAAGGAAAUGUGUACUUGUGGAGUUAAAAAAUUACAACACGUGUACAAAAUAUUUCCAAUUAUAUAAUAUAAAUGCGAUAUAAUAAUUUUAUUAUAUGCCUAUUUUAUUUAUAUUAUAUAAAAUAUAUAAUAAAAUAAUUAAUUAGUUCACUAAUAAGUGUUAGGUAUAAUGGUAAGGCAUAUUAUAUUUUCAAGGGGAGACAGGUUCAAACUUUGGAGACGAUAUUGUUGGGAGGAGCAGCCACAAACCCCGACCAUGAAUAGUAAAACAGACAUGAAGAAUACCAAAAUAAAUUAACUAAUUUAAUCUAUUAUGCUAAUGAUUUAAGAUAAAUUGAUUUCAAUUUUUUAUAUUAUUCCAAUAUAAUAUCAAACUCACAUAGUUACAUGCACACAGGCUAAUUUAACAUUACUUUUGAAAAGUGACGUGGAAAAAUACUUUUCAGAAGUACUUUGGAAAAGUUUGAUUUAAGAUUUAAGUGUUUAGUAUUGUUGUCAAAAAAUACUUUUAAAAAAUAAUAUGUCCAAUUUAGACAUGGUAUUACAGAGUAACAAAUAUACAUUUAAAUAAUAUUCAAAUUAGUUAAUAUUAUGAUAUGUUAGUAUGAAUAUAAAUUUUAAAUAUUUUUAAGCAAUUUAUAAAAUUUAAUUAGAAUAUAUAAAUUAUAAUUUAAAUAUUUAAAUAUAAUAAUUAAAUAUUAACACAUUAGUAUUAUUUUAAAAAACAAUAUUACGAAAUAACAUGUUUUUUCCUUAUUUGCAACGAAAAAAAAAGAGGGAAAGGGAUGACGGGUGAAAAAAUAAUUAAGUAAUUAAAAGUGCUUUGGGGAGAAUAAAAGCUACAAAUUUUAUCCAUUUGACCAAAAAUACUUUUAAAAAGUCAAAAAUUUCAACCUAAAGUUAUUUGUUUAACACAACUUUUCUUCCAAAAAUGCUUUUUCAGAGCAUUGUUAAACGCAACCUAAAAUAAUUGACCAGUUUAAUGAAUCUUUUAACAAUGGUAAUUAAAUUAUAUUUUUGAAUAAUUAAAAUAAAAAUUACCCUUAUUUAAAAUAACUAACGAGGUAGUUAAACUAGGAGAGAAGGCAAAAAUUUCUUUUAGGGGUGCAAAUUAAAUUUUAAAUUUUACGAUAGUAAAAAUACAAUUUUACUAUUUGAAUAGUAUAUAUUUUUAUAGUUUUUAAAGGAUUAAAUUAUUUUUUAUUAUUUUUAUGGAGAGUCAAGUACAAUUUUUCUUUUUUUUAAUAUAAAAUUUUUAAAAAUAUAAAAACCUAAAUAAAAAAUUUUCCGGUACGGGCCGCAGCCCCCCGGCUUCCCCUGAGUUAAACUAUUGUUAUUGUUUGGCGAUUCUUGUAAAGCUAAAGCGAAAGGUGAUGGGAAAGAGGCGUUUUGGAAGUUUUUAUGGUUUCCUCUUCAUUAUGGCAAGCAACUCAAUUCUAUAAAUAGCCUAUUAUUUUGUAUCUAAACAUUUAAAUUAAAAAAAUAUCCAAGAAGAAUACAAUCUCUAUUUGAAUAUAUAGAGAGAAUUUUUGAAGCAGUUUGAGUUGCAGAAAGCUUGAAAAAUGAGCACAAAAAUGGCGCCGCCGUCGCCGGGGGGUGAUACUAAAGCACGUUCAUUGGAAGAGACACCAACAUGGGCUGUUGCAGUGGUGUGUUUUUGUAUUAUUGUUGCUUCAAUCCUCAUUGAACAUGCCAUUCACAUGCUAGGCAAGGUAUAUAUAUAUUUUUUACUUCUUUUACUUUUAUAAUUAAAUUUUGGGUUUUCAUUUAGUGAUAUUUUAAACUUAUUAAGAGGAUUAAAAUUGAACCAAUUUGUAAGUUUAGCCAUCCUUGAAAAUUUUAGUAUUUUAAACCUUACCUUUUAUCUCAUAUUAUGUUGUUUAUGGAUAGAGUUAUUCGGUUUGGCUUGAAGGCCUAUUUGAAAAGUGAAAAUAAUUGCAUAAAAAUAUAAGCUUGAAAUAUGAGAUUAGACAAAAAAAAAUAAUGUCUGUUUUGAAAGCAGAUUGGGUCUCAGACAAGGUUUUUUUGGCCCGACACGAAUUUGCAAUAAAAAAAUCAUGUUAUUUUGCUAUUGUUUUUCCAUUAUUUUGCUACCACUCCAUUAUUAUAUUACUACUAUUUUGUUGUUACUGUUUGAUAUUAUAUAACUCUUGUUUUAUUAUUAAUUUUGUUACUAUUUUAGAAACAUUUGCUUGUUAAGUUGUACAUUUUUUAGUGUUAUUUAAGUAUACAUAUUUUUAAAAUUUAUUUUUAAUCAUUUUAAUAUUUUUAGUGUAUUUGAUGCAUUAUAUAUAGUUUUUAUUUUUAUAUAAAAAAAUAUGAAAUAAUCAAUACGGAUGGGUUAGGCUUGGGCUUGGGCAAAAAAUUAAAUCUAAUUUUUAGACUAGACUCAAGCUAAUUAAUCAGACCUAAAAUUUUAUUAAGGCCCGACUCGGUCCAUCUUAUUGUAUACAUUUUUAAAGUGUAAUUAUAUGAAUUGAUAAAAAUAACUUAUUUGAUUUAUUAAUGUAAUCCUUAUUAAUUUUAUUCCAUGAUAUUUUUAUGGGAAAAAUUAAGUCUUUUCAAAUAUAUAUUUUGUUGGAGAUUAUUGUUUUGCAUAUACUUUUUACACAGUGGCUGAAGAAAAAGCAUAAGCCAACUCUUUAUGAAGCACUCGAGAAGGUUAAAACAGGUAGUUAAUUAAUAUUUUUGUUUUUAAAUAUUUAUAUUUGAUAAUUAAAAUUAAAAAUAAAAUGAGCACUGUUGUAUUUGUGUAUUGCAGAGCUGAUGCUGAUGGGAUUUAUAUCAUUCCUACUAACAGUACUUAAAGACAGUAUAGCUGACAUUUGUAUAUCAGAAACAGUAGCGGACACGUGGCAUCCUUGUGAUAAGAAUUCUAAUGCUAAAUACCGUCCUAAAGAAACUGAUAAAUGUCGAGAAAAGGCAUGCCAUUUAUUAUUUAUUUUACGAUUUAUAUUUGGGGUUUGUAAUUGUUCCUUCCAACAAUAUUAUUUUCAGGAUUCGAACUUAUCUUUUCAUUUAAGAAUGCAAUGUGCCUUACCAUAUUUAUUUAAUAUAAAUACAAGUAUUACUUUUUAGAUAUAUUUCAAAAUUUAUAAAUAUUUAUAAUUAAUUUUGAAUUAAAUUAAAUUUGAAAUUUCAGGGAAAAGUAGCAUUUGUGUCGUCAUAUGGAAUCCACCAGCUUCAUAUAUUCAUCUUUGUGUUGGCAAUCUUUCAUAUUCUGUAUUGUAUUAUCACCUAUGUUUUGGGAAGUUAUAAGGUAUUAUUUUUAACUAUUUCAUAUAAAAUUACUUAACAUUAUCUUUAUCUUAUCUAUGGAUUUUUAAAUCAAUUUUUUGGACCGCAGAUGAAGACAUGGAAGACUUGGGAAAGUGAAGCCAAGACUGAUAACUAUCAAUAUUACAAUGGUAUUUUAUGAUGAAAUUUUCCUUUUUUUUUUUUGUAUUUAACUUGUUCUUUCAUAAAAUUUGAAAGGACUAUAUAAUCAAUUUACCAUUUUGGAGGUCCAAUGCCGCUGCCUCCAGAGUCCAGACUUAUAUAUAUACUUAGAAAAGUGUUUUUUAUUAUUAUUUUAAAAUUAAAAUUGAAUAAAAAAAUAAUUUUAUUAAUAAAUAAUGAGUAUUUUUUUCUUGCUUAUGAUAAUGUAGAUCCUGAGAGGUUCAGAUUUGUAAGGGACACUUCAUUUGGACGUAGACAUUUGAACUUUUGGAGUACCUCCACUUUAUCUGUUUGGAUUGUAAGUAAAAUUAAAUUUUAAAUUAUUUAAUUAAAAAUAUUUGAAUCUUUUAAUAAUUAAUAUUUGAGUUGGAAUUUUAUUCUUUAUUUGCUAUCAGGUGUGUUUCUUUAGACAAUUCUCUUGUUCAGUUAGAAAGGUUGAUUACUUGACAUUAAGACAUGGAUUUAUCAUGGUAAGCUAAAAGUUCAGGAUUUUGGAUUUUAAUUUACAAUUUGGGAUUAAUUUUUGUUGUUGUUACAUAACUAAAAUAUCAACUAUAAAUGUCAUUGGUGAUAAAGGUUAAUAUUUGCGUAUUACAAUUAGAUUUGUUAAUGGGUCGGGUUAUUUGUUAGGUAUGAAGAUCUGUUCAAAAUUUGGGAGGGUUUGGACAAAAGUAUUAAGUCCAAAAAUAUAAUAUGAAUAAACCUGAAAUGGGCUUAGUUAGUCUUUUGCAAAUAUGAAUGAAUUUAGACAAAUAUAAAGUACUUAAUCCUGACUCAACCUGACCAACAAGAACCUAUAAUUACAAUUGUUUAGCUAAGAAAACCACAAAAUUUAUGAGUUCCUGUCUGCUAUGUAUUUAGGCACAUUUGCCGCCUGAAAGGGAAACACAAUUCGAUUUUCAGAAUUACAUCGAGAAAUCAUUAGAAGAAGAUUUUAAAGUUGUAGUUGGAAUCAGGUUAGUCUACUUUCUAAUUUAAAUUCGAGUACAAAUACCAAAUAUAAAUAUACGUUGGGUUACAUAUAUAUAAUGUUGUAUGAAAUUGCAGUCCACACAUAUGGUUCAUUGCGGUCCUAUUCCAGCUUGCGUAUACACAUGGUAAGGAUUUUUAUUUUUAUUUUUUAAUAAUCUCAUCAUAAAUUCCGAUUAUAUCUGUCAUUUUUGAUAUAAUGUCUAAAAUUAUUCAUAGUCCUUCCUCAACUCAUAAAUAGGAGGAUAAUAUAUUUCAGUACAGUCAAACUCACGUCCUUCUACAUUAACAAUCGGUCGAGUUAUACUUCAAUGUGCAGGAUUUUCAUCUUUUACUAUUGUGGUUAAUGUUAACAAACAAUUUUCCCCUUAUGGACAGGGUGGAGAUCUUAUGUUUGGCUUCCUUUUAUCCCCUUAAUUGUAAGUACAAUACAUUUUUCAUAUAUUAUGUAAUUGCUUUUAUGGAUUCAUAUAUUGAUGGAUAUCCUUUUUGCUCUUUACAUAAUAAAUUAAUUAAGAUGACAUUUGCUUAUUUCAGAUAAUUCUAAUGGUUGGAACCAAGCUGCAAGUCAUCAUAACAAAAAUGGGAUUAAGGAUUCAAGACAGAGGAGAAGUGGUGAAGGGUGCACCAGUGGUUGAACCAGGCGAUGAACACUUCUGGUUCGAUAGUCCUGGCCUCCUUCUUUCUCUCAUUCACAUCAUUCUUUUUACGGUAAUGAAUUUUACUUCAAACUUAAUCCAUAUAAUAUGAAUUUAUGUAUAUAUUAAAAUUUUAUGUAAUAUAAAUAUAAAUUUAAUUAAAUCCUAACUUUUGCGGGCAGUUAUGAAUUUAUCUAAAUAUGAUUUCAUUGUGUAGAAUGCAUUUCAACUGGCCUUUUUCGCGUGGAGCACGGUAAGCAAAACCUAAACCCCGUGUUUGUUUCCCCAGACAAUGUUCGAUUAGCUUACCCAACAAUUCUUUUCCCUUCUUUCUCAAUCCUUUUUAGUAUGAAUUUUCCAUAAAUUCUUGCUACCAUGAGAAAAUUGAAGACAUCAUCAUCAGAAUCUCUAUGGGGUGAGUUUUUUUUUUAAUAAAAAAUUACGGAUAAAAAUUAUCUUUUUGGCUAAGAUCAUAAAAUAAAUAUUAAUGAUUUGAAAAACAAAAUACUGAUAAUAUAUAUAUUGUAAUUUUCAGGGUCAUUAUACAAGUUCUCUGCAGCUACGUCACUCUUCCACUCUAUGCUUUAGUGAAUCUGGUAAGAAAUUAGACCGGUCGAAUUUUGGAGAAAUUAUUUUACGGGCUCUUUCCAUUACAUCAGCCAUGACUCUUUUUUAAUUAUUUAAUAACAUUUCAGUAAAUUUUUCAUGUCAUUGAUAUAUAAUUUUGGUAUUUUUUUUACUUUGCACCCUAAACUCAAAAUCGUAAAUCUCGAAACUUCAACUCGAACUUUAAACCUUUUGGGUUCAUGAUUUAAGAUUUGAGUUUUAGGAUUUAAGAUUUGGGAUUCAAGAUUCAAAGCAAAAAAAAAUUACAAAAAUUACGUAUGAAUGACAUGAAAAGAAUUACUGAAAUAUCAUUAAAUAAUUAGAAAAAUACCAUAGAUGAAGUGGUGAGAAAGUGACAAAAUAAUUUCUCCAAAUUUUAGAUGAAAUUUUAAUAAAUUUAAUUUGAGAUAGUCCUAAUUACUGUUUAAUAAUAAUCUUUAAAUCUAAUUAUAAGGAUUUAUAAAAAUGAGUAGUUAUUAUACCUAACACAUAAACACGUCAAUUAUUUUUACAAAGUUAAAAAAUAAAUGUUUUAAACUUAAAUAGGUUGAGUCGGUCAGACCAAGCACGUCUAUCCAACUAGAGUUAAUUUAUCAGUCAAAAUAAAUAAUCCGAUCCAAACUUUUUUCGAAGGAAAAAUAUAUAUAUUAAUUUAUAAUUUUUUUAAAAAUUUUGUGUACAGAUGGGAACAAAGAUGAGAUCAACUAUCUUCGAUCGAAGAAUCGCAGAUUCGCUUAAAACUUGGCAUCACACAGCAAAGGAAAAUACUAAACACGACAAGCUUUCGAAGAAUACAACACCAUUUUCAAGCAAGCCCGCAACUCCAAGCCAUGGGAUGUCUCCUGUCCAUCCUCUACAUGGCUAUCCUCGAAAAAGUGAGGAAAGCGGUCAUACGUCUCUGACGCAUUUGAACUUUGAGAACGACCGAUGGGAUCCGGUAGAUAUGUUCACCAACUCUUCGAGUCACCGUGAUAUCGAUGUUCCUGAUGUUAGUCGUGGUGAACUGCAAUCGGAAAGGAGGGAAGUCGCGGACAUGACGGUUCAAGAAUUUAG
rnacentral:lncRNA from 1 species